rnacentral:rRNA from 1 species
GACGAACGCUGGCGGCGUGCUUAACACAUGCAAGUCGAACGGAAAGGCCCUGCUUUUGUGGGGUGCUCGAGUGGCGAAGGGGGGAGGAACACGUGAGUAACCUGCCCUUGACUUUGGGGUAACUUCAGGAAACUGGGGCUAAUACCGGAUAGGAGCUCCUGCUGCGUGGUGGGGGUUGGAAAGUUUCGGCGGUUGGGGAUGGACUCGCGGCUUAUGAGCUUGUUGGUGGGGUAGUGGCUUACCAAGGCUUUGACGGGUAGGCGGCCUGAGAGGGUGACCGGCCACAUGGGGACUGCGAGACGCACCAGACUCGUACGGGAGGCAGCAGUGGGGAACAUUGCACAGUGGGCCGAAGCCUGAUGCAGAGACGUCGCGUGCGGGAUGCCGGCCUUCGGGUUGUAAACCGCUUUCGCCUGUGACGAAGCGUGAGUGACGGUAAUGGGUAAAGAAGCACCGGCUAACUACGUG